rnacentral:rRNA from 1 species
GACGAACGCUGGCGGCGUGCUUAACACAUGCCAGUCGAACGGCGAAGCUCCAGCUUGCUGGUGUGGCUCAGUGGCGAACGGGUGAGUAACACGUGAGCAACCUGCCCCUGACUCUGGAAUAAGCGCUGGAAACGGCGUCUAAUACUGGAUACGAGAAGGGUCCGCAUGGGAACCUUCUGGAAAGUUUUUCGGUUGGGGAUGGGCUCGCGGCCUAUCAGCUUGUUGGUGAGGUAAUGGCCCACCAAGGCGACGACGGGUAGCCGGCCUGAGAGGGCGACCGGCCACACUGGGACUGAGACACGGCCCAGACUCCUACGGGAGGCAGCAGUGGGGAGUAUGGCACAAUGGGCGAAAGCGUGAUGCAGCGACGCCGCGUUAGUGAUGACGGCCUUCGGGUUGUAAACCGCUUUCGGCAGGGAAGAAGCGAAAGUGACGGUACCUGCAGAAGAAGCACCGGCUAACUACGUG